rnacentral:rRNA from 1 species
UACAGAGGUCUCAAGCGUUGUUCGGAUUCAUUGGGCGUAAAGGGUGUGUAGGUGGCGCGCUAAGUCGGGUGUGAAAUCCCCAGGCUUAACCUGGGAACUGCAUCCGAUACUGGAUGGCUUGAAUCCGGGAGAGGGAUGCAGAAUUCCAGGUGUAGCGGUGAAAUGCGUAGAUAUCUGGAGGAAUACCGGUGGCGAAGGCGGCAUCCUGGACCGGCAUUGACGCUGAUGAGCGAAAGCUAGGGGAGCAAACGGG